rnacentral:misc_RNA from 1 species
GUUACCUUUGUUACGACUUCACCCCAGUCAUGAAUCCUACCGUGGUAAUACGUAGGUGGGUGCAAGCGUUAAUCGGAAUUAUCAGCGUAAAAGCGCGCAGGCGGUUCGGAAAGAAAGAUGUGAAAACCUGUUCAACUUUGGAACUGCAUUUUUAACUACCGAGCUAGAGUGUGCCGAGGGAUGCGGAAUUCCGCGUGUAGCAGUGAAAUGCGUAGAUAUGCGGAGGAACACCGAUGGCGAAGGCAGCCUCCUGGGAUAACACUGACGCUCAUGCACGAAAGCGUGGGGAGCAACAGGAUUAGAUACCCUGGUAGUCCACGGUUCUAAACGAUGUCAACUAGUUGGGGCCUUCGGGCCUUGUAGCGCAGCUAACGCGAAGUUGAUCCGCGUCUGGGGAGUACGGUCGCAAGAUUAAAACUCAAAGGAAUUGACGGGGACCCGCACAGCGGUGGAUUAACGGGAUUAAUUCGAUGCAACGCGAAAAACCUACCUACCCUUGACAUGUCUGGAAUCCCGAAGAGAUUUGGAGUGCUCGGCAAUAGAGAACCAGAAACAGGUGCUGCAUGGCUGUCGUCAGCUCCGUGUCGCGAGAUGUUGGGUUAAGUCCCGCAACGAGCGGCAACCCUUGUCAUUAGUUGCUACGAAGGGCACCUAUCGACUGCCGGUGACAACCGGAGGAAGGUGGGGAUGACGUCAAGCUCAGCGGCCCUUACACGGUAGGGCUUCACACGUCACAAUGGUCGGGACAGAGGGUCGCUAACCCGCGAGGGGGAGCCAAUCCCAGAAACCCGAUCGUAGUCCGAUCGCAGUCUGCAACUCGACUGCGUGAAGUCGGAAUCGCCAAAAAUCGCGGAUCAGCAUGUCGCGGUGAAUACGUUCCCGGGGUCUUGUACACACCGCCCGUCACACCAUGGGAGUGGGUUUUACCAGAAGUAGUUAAAUGGCCUAACUGUAAGGAGGGCGAUUACCACGGUAGGAUUCAUGACUGGGGUGAAGUCGUAACAAGGUAA